CCAUAGAGAAGUUCUCUGUAGAUAAUAUUCAAAUUUACUUUAUUUUGGCAUCUUUUCAAAGGAGCAGGAAGUACAAUAUAAACAGCUGGAUGGUGAGUUUCUUCAUUAUCCUUCCCCAGACAAAUGUGUAACUGCAGCCCUGUGUGAUGGGGAAUAGUGGUGAGAAAGCAGAGUUGAACAUCGUGCUACUCGCAAGGGUCUCCAAAUGGCAUUGUUACUCCAAAGUGCUGUAACGAGGAGUAACGACCGUGACUCCCUCCUCAUUACCUUUCCUUACAGGGAGCUGGAUUUUUCUUGUAACUGCAAG